rnacentral:rRNA from 1 species
UACGUAGGGGGCUAGCGUUGUCCGGAAUCAUUGGGCGUAAAGCGCGCGUAGGCGGCCCGGUAAGUCCGCUGUAAAAGUCAAAGGCUCAACCUUUGAAUGUCAGUGGAUACUGCCGGGCUAGAGUCCGGAAGAGGCGAGUGGAACUCCUGGUGUAGCGGUGGAAUGCGCAGAUAUCAGGAAGAACACCUAUGGCGAAAGCAGCUCUCUGGGACGGUACUGACGCUGAGACGCGAAAGCGUGGGGAGCGAACAGG